UAAGGAAUAUUGGACAAUGGAGGCAACUCUGAUCCAGCCAUGCCGCGUGGAGGAAUAAGGCCCUAUGGGUUGUAAACUUCUUUUAGACGGGACAAAACCCCUUUACGUGUAAAGGGUUGAUGGUACUGUCAGAAUAAGCAUCGGCUAACUUCGUGCCAGCAGCCGCGGUAAUACGAAGGAUGCAAGCGUUAUCCGGAAUUAUUGGGUUUAAAGGCUGCGUAGGCGGACUAAUAAGUCAGUGGUGAAAGCCUGCAGCUUAACUGCAGAAUUGCCAUUGAUACUGUUAGUCUUGAGUACAGUUGAGGUAGGCGGAAUGUGUCAUGUAGCGGUGAAAUGCUUAGAUAUGACACAGAACACCGAUUGCGAAGGCAGCUUGCUAAGCUGUAACUGACGCUGAGGCACGAAAGCGUGGGGAGCAAACA
rnacentral:rRNA from 1 species